rnacentral:rRNA from 1 species
AUUGAACGCUGGCGGCAUGCCUUACACAUGCAAGUCAAACGGCAGCACGGGAGCAAUCCUGGUGGCGAGUGGCGAACGGGUGAGUAAUGUAUCGGAACGUGCCCAGUCGUGGGGGAUAACGUAGCGAAAGCUACGCUAAUACCGCAUACGAUCUAUGGAUGAAAGCGGGGAAUCGCAAGACCUCGCGCGAUUGGAGCGGCCGAUAUCAGAUUAGGUAGUUGGUGGGGUAAAGGCUCACCAAGCCGACGAUCUGUAGCUGGUCUGAGAGGACGACCAGCCACACUGGGACUGAGACACGGCCCAGACUCCUACGGGAGGCAGCAGUGGGGAAUUUUGGACAAUGGGCGCAAGCCUGAUCCAGCAAUGCCGCGUGCAGGAUGAAGGCCUUCGGGUUGUAAACUGCUUUUGUACGGAACGAAACGGCGAGCUCUAAUACAGUUUGCUAAUGACGGUACCGUAAGAAUAAGCACCGGCUAACUACGUGCCAGCCGCCGCGGUAA